UCUACUCUUGGACAGCCUUCUGAAGGAAGAUUAAUACAAGAUGGCAUCAUGAGUCCGCAUGUUCACAUGAUUAAAGGUAUUCCGGUAGACGAUGGGGAUGCGUUCCAUUAGAUAGUAGGCGGGGUAACGGCCCACCUAGUCUUCGAUGGAUAGGGGUUCUGAGAGGAAGGUCCCCCACAUUGGAACUGAGACACGGUCCAA
rnacentral:rRNA from 1 species